CUCUGGUGAAUGUGGAAGUUUCUGGAGGCUUCUGGGAGUUCCUGAAGCCCUUAGGCGGUCUUUCUCAUGGGUGAGGCUGCGUCCCCGCCCAGUUAGUCGCCUGACCUGAGGUGUCGCAGCACGAGCGCGUCCAGGCUGUCAGGUGCGGCCGGGCGCUGGCGGAGGCCGGCAGCAAUGCCCUGCGGUAGGAGGAGGCCCCAAGUAUGGCUGCCGCCAGCGUCUGUGGCCCCGGGCUGAGCCGCGGUCCCCCGCCUCUCCGGGAGACCCUCCAAGACCAGAGGUUAGCUUUGGAAAGACUCACCAGCUCAGGACACACCCACCCCUAAGAGACAGGGCCGCCGGUGAAGGGAGAUGCAGUCCCAGUGACUCUCGGAAGCAGAAAAGCUCAGAGCUUAAGGAGAUGAGGAGCCUGAGGCUACGAGGGGUGGAGUGGGUUCCUCAGGAUGACACAACCAGCAAAUGGCAGAGCCAAGAUUUGAACUUGACUCACAAUCUUUUUGCAGUCCUCCCUGCCUCCCAAGAUGCAAUAUCAUGACUCUGUGUGGUCACCGUGUAGGAGAACAACUCGGAAAGCAGUGCUUUGGACCCAUUUCUACAGCAAGAUCGGCUUCAUUCAGCUAAGUGUGUUUUCUUCAAUUUUAAAAAUUAGGUUUGAAGAAAAACACAAAGCAUUGAAAAGUACAAGAAACUAGUGAUGCAUCUAUCCAUCCAUCCAUCUAAAACACACACACACACACACACUACAUACACUUGCACACACACAUAUGCAUAAGCUAAAUGAAGUUAAUUAAGUUAAAACUAGUAAAUCUGACAGACCAGAUUAACACAACGGUCAAAACUGUAGGAAAUAUAGUAUUUUGGAAAAAGAAUAAAUCCAGCCAAUUACAGAUUUAUGUUGACGCCAGCCCAGUUACCACAGUUUUACAAUAAUCGUUGAUCAAUCAACGUUUUAUGACAAAACUAUAAUUUUCAUGUGCUUCAUCCUCACCUAAAAGUUUCCUCGUUUGCUUAAUUCCCAGAACGUGAUUCCGUAAAUCUUUCUCUCUGCGAUAUUAAGUAGAUAAUAAGAAUGCCAUGAAAGAUUUGCUUAUGGUUUAAACCACAGUUGCAAAUGAUUUAUAAUUAGGGCCAAAUCUAAGACAAAACAUUAUUAAAGCCAAAACCUGCUCUAAAUUGGCCUGGUCUGCUUGGGGCUUUAGAAAUUUAUUGGGGUUUGAUGACAGUAUUUCCUUGGGUGAGAUCCAAGGGGUCAGCUGACACCAAGGGGAGAUAUUUAUGAGUAAGGGUAUGCUGUGGAAAUCACUGGGGCAUCCCUGGUGGCAACAGCCAAGGGAACAGACAUGACUCCAUGUGCCACCUUCAAGGGCAAAACUCUCAGUGUGGGUUCCUCCAGGCAAGUCAACUGCAAAUGUGUGACCCAGAGUCUGCCCUGCCUUCACAGGUCUGAGAGGAGAGUAUCCCCAGCAGGAGCCCAGUGUGACUGGAGCCUACUGUGAGUGAGGAGAGGGGUCAGGGCCUCUCCAGUGGGCUGAGAGGACCUUGGCUUUCACAGUGAUGGAGAGGCCGUCAGAGGGCUUUGAGUCAGGUAGUGAUCUAUCAGAACGGCAUUUUAAAAGUGUUUGUUCUGAGUGCUGUCUGGAGAACAGACUGUAGGGGGCAGGAGUGGAAGCAGAAAGGUAAGAAAGGAGAAUUUCCUGUCCACCAGCUGAAAAAGGAAGGUGGCUUAAACCAGGAGGUUGUGGUAGAGAGGGGAAAACAGGGUUGCGUUUGAGAUACUGUCUGUAAUUGAGUGGACAGAACUUGUUGACAGACUGGUUACUGGAUGUGACAAGAAGACAGGAGUAAAGGCCAAGUCUCAGGUUUCUGGCCUGAGCAAUGUGGUGAUCAUUGUUGCUGUUCCCUGAAGUGGAGAGGACUGGGGUGUGGCAACAGGUUGGAGAAAAGGACGGUAUGGCCUCAAGUCUCUGGUGAUGGGCGUGUGAAGUCUGAGGUGCCAUUAGUGUCCACCUGGGGAGGUCAGGGAGGCAGGUGGAUAUAUGAGUCUGGAGUCUAGGAGAGAGAUCAAGCUGGAGAUACAAAUUUUGAAGUCGUCAGCCCAAGGAUGAUUUUAAAGCCAUGAGAUCACCAAGAACUGAGGACAGAUAAGUCUAAGAGAAGGUCUGCAGGCUGAGCCUUGGAGCCUGAGACAUUUAGACAUCAGAAGAAAGGAGAUACCUAAGCCCAGGGCAUCAAGAAGGAGCUGUCAGUGACAUAGAAGAAAUUCAAGAGAAUGUGGUGUCCUGCAGGUGGCAAAAAACCAGGGUGAAGCCAUCAGUUGUAUCAAAGACUGGAGGAGGUCAAGUAAGAUGAAUAAUGGAACCUUACCGCUGGCUUUGGAAACAUGGCAGUCAUUGGCGACUGUGACAGAAAAGCUUGGAGUUAGUUCCUGGACCACACUUUGACAUCUCAUCAUCAGCCUUCACCAAGAGACAUUCCAAGAGUCAGCGGUGUAAAAAUCACUUCUUUUCUUGGAGGCAUGUCUUUGAGGAACGUCCUGCACCACAUCACAGCUCCUUAGGCACGAGCACCUAUGGGAGGUAUUUCUUCCAGAGGAACAUCAAGGAAAUCUUCUUUUGAGCAACUGACUGAACUUUCCAUCUUCAAACUCCUGGAUUCCUGUUUCCUUCUUUGCAUCGGCCACCAGUUGCCCAGCAGUGGCGUAGGAAUGCAUUUUUGUGUGCCAGACGUACUCUUGGCUCCCUCUUUUUCUUGUUGUUGUUGUUCUCAUUUUCCUGGUUACAUUGCCUGUUUACCUAGUCUGUGUUUAUUGUAUUUUUUUUAUAAGGGGGAGGUAAUUCGGUUUAUUCAUUGGUUUCCGCUCGGAGGAGGUACUGGGGAUUGAACCCAGGACCUCUUACCUACUGAGCGUGUGCUCUACUACUUGAGCUAUACCCUUCCCGCUAGUCUGUUUUUAUUUUAAUCCUCCUUUAACGUGUGCAUUUCUCUCAACUGUGUGUAUUUCUGGUGUGUGAUCACUGCAGAUCUUUUUGGAACCAUAUGGGGUGGGUAGUAAAUAGUGCAGCAAAUGCCAAAUGUUAUAGUGGUUUCAUAGAUACCACUGGGUCCUGAUUAAGGACUUGCAUGCAUUAUGAUGGAGAGGAAAUAGACCUGGGCACAGAGCCAGGGGAUAAUCUAGUUCUGGCUCUGCCACUAAAUAGCUGUGUGACCCUGGAAGAUCCAGUCUCCCUCUCUGAGCUUCACCUUCUUUGACUAUCACACACAGGGUUGUACUAGCUCAGGGUUAGCAAAUAUGAAGCACAUACGCACUGACCAUAAACCUCCGUAGCAGACAUCACUAAUCAAUAAGGCACUCUUUGGCAUUGAGCUCAAGUAAGACAUCAGAAUCCUUCUUAACACAGUACUUCAGGCUCCAAUGAUAAGUUAAUAGGAGUUGGUAUGCUAAAUGAGAUCUUCUUGCAGUACAGGACUAAAUGAUGUCUCAGAGUGAGGUGGACUGCUGGCCAUGAGCUAGAACUGUAGUAGUAUCUGUAGUGACAUUUGAUUGCCCCCAAGAAAAAAUUCCGUGGCAGAGGGGGUGGGAAAACUCUGUAAUAACUAUAAAGGGCACCAUGCAUAUCCUAGCAUUUGUCAUUGAAUAUGUCAUCAAGAAUGACAUUUGGACCAUGCCUUCUAUCUAUUUAAGAUGAGAGCUUGGAAACUUGAGAUACAAAGAAUUGCUACCUAUCCAAGUCUGAAUGCUUGUUUUCAGAGAAAGACAUGUCUUCUACUGGGAUAAGCAAAUUCAUUUAAUUUCUACAGUCUUUAAAAGCUUUUUGUGAACGUAACCCAGUAUUUCUAUUCAAAUCACCUUUCACAAGUCUGAGGGGAAAAUUUUUUUCUUAAUAGACAAUCUGGGUAAUUACUUUUUAAUUAAUUAAUUGAUUAAAGAAU